GGUUAAGCGACUAAGCGUACACGGUGGAUGCCCUGGCAGUCAGAGGCGAUGAAGGACGUGCUAAUCUGCGAAAAGCGCCGGCGAGGUGAUAUGAACCUUUGACCCGGCGAUGUCCGAAUGGGGAAACCCAGUGUGUUCCGACACACUAUCGUUAACUGAAUACAUAGGUUAACGAGGCGAACCGGGGGAACUGAAACAUCUAAGUACCCCGAGGAAAAGAAAUCAACCGAGAUUCCCCCAGUAGCGGCGAGCGAACGGGGAGCAGCCCAGAGUCUGAAUCAGCUUGUGUGUUAGUGGAAGCGUCUGGAAAGUCGCAGGGUACAGGGUGAUACUCCCGUACACGAAAGCACACAGGUUGUGAACUCGAAGAGUAGGGCGGGACACGUGGUAUCCUGUCUGAAUAUGGGGGGACCAUCCUCCAAGGCUAAAUACUCCUGACUGACCGAUAGUGAACCAGUACCGUGAGGGAAAGGCGAAAAGAACCCCGGCGAGGGGAGUGAAAAAGAACCUGAAACCGUGUACGUACAAGCAGUGGGAGCACCUUCGUGGUGUGACUGCGUACCUUUUGUAUAAUGGGUCAGCGACUUAUAUUCUGUAGCAAGGUUAACCGUAUAGGGGAGCCGAAGGGAAACCGAGUCUUAACUGGGCGUUAAGUUGCAGGGUAUAGACCCGAAACCCGGUGAUCUAGCCAUGGGCAGGUUGAAGGUUGGGUAACACUAACUGGAGGACCGAACCGACUAAUGUUGAAAAAUUAGCGGAUGACUUGUGGCUGGGGGUGAAAGGCCAAUCAAACCGGGAGAUAGCUGGUUCUCCCCGAAAGCUAUUUAGGUAGCGCCUCGUGAACUCAUCUUCGGGGGUAGAGCACUGUUUCGGCUAGGGGGCCAUCCCGGCUUACCAACCCGAUGCAAACUACGAAUACCGAAGAAUGUUAUCACGGGAGACACACGGCGGGUGCUAACGUCCGUCGUGAAGAGGGAAACAACCCAGACCGCCAGCUAAGGUCCCAAAGUCAUGGUUAAGUGGGAAACGAUGUGGGAAGGCACAGACAGCCAGGAUGUUGGCUUAGAAGCAGCCAUCAUUUAAAGAAAGCGUAAUAGCUCACUGGUCGAGUCGGCCUGCGCGGAAGAUGUAACGGGGCUAAACCAUGCACCGAAGCUGCGGCAGCGACACUAUGUGUUGUUGGGUAGGGGAGCGUUCUGUAAGCCGUUGAAGGUGUGCUGUGAGGCAUGCUGGAGGUAUCAGAAGUGCGAAUGCUGACAUAAGUAACGAUAAAGCGGGUGAAAAGCCCGCUCGCCGGAAGACCAAGGGUUCCUGUCCAACGUUAAUCGGGGCAGGGUGAGUCGACCCCUAAGGCGAGGCCGAAAGGCGUAGUCGAUGGGAAACAGGUUAAUAUUCCUGUACUUGGUGUUACUGCGAAGGGGGACGGAGAAGGCUAUGUUAGCCGGGCGACGGUUGUCCCGGUUUAAGCAUGUAGGCGGAGGUUCCAGGUAAAUCCGGUACCUUUUAACGCUGAGGUGUGAUGACGAGGCACUACGGUGCUGAAGUAACAAAUGCCCUGCUUCCAGGAAAAGCCUCUAAGCAUCAGGUAACAUCAAAUCGUACCCCAAACCGACACAGGUGGUCAGGUAGAGAAUACCAAGGCGCUUGAGAGAACUCGGGUGAAGGAACUAGGCAAAAUGGUGCCGUAACUUCGGGAGAAGGCACGCUGAUAUGUAGGUGAAGCCCCUGCGGGUGGAGCUGAAAUCAGUCGAAGAUACCAGCUGGCUGCAACUGUUUAUUAAAAACACAGCACUGUGCAAACACGAAAGUGGACGUAUACGGUGUGACGCCUGCCCGGUGCCGGAAGGUUAAUUGAUGGGGUUAGCGGCAACGCGAAGCUCUUGAUCGAAGCCCCGGUAAACGGCGGCCGUAACUAUAACGGUCCUAAGGUAGCGAAAUUCCUUGUCGGGUAAGUUCCGACCUGCACGAAUGGCGUAAUGAUGGCCAGGCUGUCUCCACCCGAGACUCAGUGAAAUUGAACUCGCUGUGAAGAUGCAGUGUACCCGCGGCAAGACGGAAAGACCCCGUGAACCUUUACUAUAGCUUGACACUGAACACUGGUCCUUGAUGUGUAGGAUAGGUGGGAGGCUUUGAAGUGUGGACGCCAGUCUGCAUGGAGCCGUCCUUGAAAUACCACCCUUUAAUGGCUGGUGUUCUAACGUAGACCCGUAAUCCGGGUUGCGGACAGUGUCUGGUGGGUAGUUUGACUGGGGCGGUCUCCUCCCAAAGAGUAACGGAGGAGCACGAAGGUUAGCUAAUCCUGGUCGGACAUCAGGAGGUUAGUGCAAUGGCAUAAGCUAGCUUGACUGCGAGAGUGACGGCUCGAGCAGGUGCGAAAGCAGGUCAUAGUGAUCCGGUGGUUCUGAAUGGAAGGGCCAUCGCUCAACGGAUAAAAGGUACUCCGGGGAUAACAGGCUGAUACCGCCCAAGAGUUCAUAUCGACGGCGGUGUUUGGCACCUCGAUGUCGGCUCAUCACAUCCUGGGGCUGAAGUAGGUCCCAAGGGUAUGGCUGUUCGCCAUUUAAAGUGGUACGCGAGCUGGGUUUAGAACGUCGUGAGACAGUUCGGUCCCUAUCUGCCGUGGGCGCUGGAGAAUUGAGGGGGGCUGCUCCUAGUACGAGAGGACCGGAGUGGACGCAUCACUGGUGUUCGGGUUGUCAUGCCAAUGGCACUGCCCGGUAGCUAAAUGCGGAAAAGAUAAGUGCUGAAAGCAUCUAAGCACGAAACUUGCCCCGAGAUGAGUUCUCCCUGAGACUUUAAGUCUCCUGAAGGAACGUUGAAGACGACGACGUUGAUAGGUCGGGUGUGUAAGCGCAGCGAUGCGUUGAGCUAACCGAUACUAAUGAACCGUGAGGCUUAACCUU
rnacentral:rRNA from 1 species